GGGGAAUAUUGGACAAUGGGCGCAAGCCUGAUCCAGCCAUGCCGCGUGAGUGAUGAAGGCCCUAGGGUUGUAAAGCUCUUUCACCGGUGAAGAUAAUGACGGUAACCGGAGAAGAAGCCCCGGCUAACUUCGUGCCAGCAGCCGCGGUAAUACGAAGGGGGCUAGCGUUGUUCGGAAUUACUGGGCGUAAAGCGCACGUAGGCGGACUGGUCAGUUAGGGGUGAAAUCCCGGGGCUCAACCCCGGAACUGCCUUUAAUACUGCCAGUCUAGAGUCCGAGAGAGGUGAGUGGAAUUCCGAGUGUAGAGGUGAAAUUCGUAGAUAUUCGGAGGAACACCAGUGGCGAAGGCGGCUCACUGGCUCGGUACUGACGCUGAGGUGCGAAAGCGUGGGGAGCAAAC
rnacentral:rRNA from 1 species